rnacentral:rRNA from 1 species
AUUAGACGAAUCAUCUGGAAAGAUGAAUCAAAGAAGGUAAUAAUCCUGUAGUCGAAAAUGUUGUCUCUCUUGAGUGGAUCCUGAGUACGACGGAGCACGUGAAAUUCCGUCGGAAUCUGGGAGGACCAUCUCCUAAGGCUAAAUACUCUCUAGUGACCGAUAGUGAACCAGUACCGUGAGGGAAAGGUGAAAAGCACCCCGGAAGGGGAGUGAAAUAGAACCUGAAACCGUGUGCUUACAAGUAGUCAGAGCCCGUUAAUGGGUGAUGGCGUGCCUUUUGUAGAAUGAACCGGCGAGUUACGAUUUGAUGCAAGGUUAAGCAGUAAAUGUGGAGCCGUAGCGAAAGCGAGUCUGAAUAGGGCGUUUAGUAUUUGGUCGUAGACCCGAAACCAGGUGAUCUACCCUUGGUCAGGUUGAAGUUCAGGUAACACUGAAUGGAGGACCGAACCGACUUACGUUGAAAAGUGAGCGGAUGAACUGAGGGUAGCGGAGAAAUUCCAAUCGAACCUGGAGAUAGCUGGUUCUCUCCGAAAUAGCUUUAGGGCUAGCCUCAAGUGAUGAUUAUUGGAGGUAGAGCACUGUUUGGACGAGGGGCCCCUCUCGGGUUACCGAAUUCAGACAAACUCCGAAUGCCAAUUAAUUUAACUUGGGAGUCAGAACAUGGGUGAUAAGGUCCGUGUUCGAAAGGGAAACAGCCCAGACCACCAGCUAAGGUCCCAAAAUAUAUGUUAAGUGGAAAAGGAUGUGGCGUUGCCCAGACAACUAGGAUGUUGGCUUAGAAGCAGCCAUCAUUUAAAGAGUGCGUAAUAGCUCACUAGUCGAGUGACACUGCGCCGAA